CCGUGCUAGGCGGGGAGUUAGCGGCGCCCUGAAUCCGCAAUCCGCUCUAGCGGGGCUGAAUUCCCCCCCGAGGGGCGCAGGCCCUGGGUCAGCGCUACGCCAGGAGGCGAUGAUGGCUCGGU
rnacentral:SRP_RNA from 1 species